AAAAACCCUAACCCUAACCAACUUUGAAGAGAUGAUAAAAUCAAAUAGUACCUUGAAUUGUUUACAUUGUCACUUCGGGGCCUUUUAUAAUUGACUAGGCGGUAUAGGCUUUGCUCAUUGUUGAAGGCCAUACAGUGACCUAUAGUUGUUAAUUUCUGUGUCAUUUUGGUCUCUUGCAAAGAGUUGUCUCAUUGGCAAUCAUACCACAUCUUCUUUUUUAUAUAUUUAUUCAGUAUUCAGAGAAGUGAAAUCCUUACUGUAAGCAGACAAGCUUACCUACUAAGGAACAUGGACAUCUAUGGCUGAGUGGUUUAAGUUGUUCGUCUAUUGCAGUUACUUGUACUACACUAUCAACACUAAGACAGGUUUUAAUAUCGGUUUUAAUAAUGAUCAAACAGGUUAUAAAUUGAUUGAUUUUUGCUUGCUAAAAGUCAAGUGGCAAAUAUCUGAUGCAAUUCAGAAUGAGAACAAAUUAAUAUACCUCUUUGUAGGCUUUGUAAAUUAUGUUGACAGAAAUGGAGGGUAGUAAUGUUAUAUAGGGACAAAAAUUUCCCCUUGCAACUGGCCACUAGCCACCACCUUUGAGUACAUUUAUUAAGUUCUUGUAAUGGUUCUUUAACUAGUAUAGAGCAUGGCAAUUUCCUAACUCAAGAUACAAGAAUUAA
rnacentral:lncRNA from 1 species